rnacentral:snRNA from 1 species
AGCUUUGCGCAGUGGCAGUAUCGUAGCCAAUGAGGUUUAUCCGAGGUGCGAUUAUUGCUAAUUGAAAACUUUUCUGUAAAUGAAUUUAUAUAUAUAUAUAAACAUAUAUAUAAUAUAUGCCAUCCCAAAGCAG